UAACAAGGAUUCCCCUAGUAACGGCGAGUGAAGAGGGAAGAGCUCAAAUUUGAAAUCUGGCGGUCUCAGGCCGUCCGAGUUGUAAUCUAGAGAGGUGUUUUCCGUGCCGGACCGUGUACAAGUCCCUUGGAACAGGGCGUCAUAGAGGGUGAGAAUCCCGUCCAUGACACGGACUACCGGUGCUCUGUGAUACACCUUCAAAGAGUCGAGUUGUUUGGGAAUGCAGCUCAAAAUGGGUGGUAAAUUCCAUCUAAAGCUAAAUACAGGCGAGAGACCGAUAGCGAACAAGUACCGUGAGGGAAAGAUGAAAAGAACUUUGGAAAGAGAGUUAAACAGUACGUGAAAUUGUUGAAAGGGAAACGCUUGAAGUCAGUCGCGUCUGCCAGGACUCAGCCUUGCUUCUGCUUGGUGCAUUUCUUGGUGGAUGGGCCAGCAUCGAUUUUGAUCGCCGGAAAAGGGCAGGAGGAAUGUGGCAGCUUUUGCUGUGUUAUAGCCUUCUGUCGUACACGGUGGUUGGGAUCGAGGACUGCAGCACGCCUUUGGUCGGGGUUCGCCCACGCCACGUGCUUAGGAUGCUGGCGUAAUGGCUUUAAACGACCCGUCUUGAAACACGGACCAAGGAGUCUAACAUGCCUGCGAGUGUUUGGGUGGAAA
rnacentral:rRNA from 1 species